ACGACUCUUGGCAAUGGAUAUAUCAGCUCUCGCAUCGAUGAAGAACGUAGCAAAAUAUGAUACUUGCUGUGAAUUGCAGAAUCCCGUGAACCAUCGAGUCUUUGAAUGCAAGUUGCGCCCAAAGCCACUAGACCGAGGUCACGCCUACAUGGGUAUCACGCAUCGCGUCGCCCCCUCUCAUCGCCCAAACGCACGGCGGGGGUGGAAAGUGGUCCCCCAUGCACAGUGCCACACAGUCGGCCCAAAUGUGAUCCCCGGCGAAGCACCUCAUGACAAGUGGUGGUUGAACCCUCAACGCACUUUGUCCUGCACCACCGUGUCGGGACGCACGAUCAGACUCAAUGGCACGUGCGAGCAUGUCGCCUUCGCCGUUCGAAUUGUAGUCUGGAGAAGCAUUCUCAGCGAAUUGUCGCCUUAAGCAUAUCAAUAAGUGGAGGAAAAGAAACAUAAGAAUUCCUCUAGUAACAGCGAGCGAAAUGGGAAUAGCCCAAAUUGAGAAUCGGGUGGCCACGCCGUUCGAAUUGUAGUCUGGAGAAGCAUUCUUAGCGGCAGACCGGGGUCGAGUCCCCUGGAAUGGGGCACCAUAGAGGGUGAGAGCCCCGUUGCUCCUGGACCCUAUCGCACCAUGAGGCACUGUUGGCGAGUCAGGUUGUUUGGGAAUGCAGCCUCAAUCGGGCGGUAAAUUCCUUCCAAGGCCAAAUACGGACGAGAGACCGAUAGCGAACAAGUACCGCGAGGGAAAGAUGAAAAGGAAUUUGAAAAGAGAGUUAAAGAGUGCUUGAAAUUGUCAUGAGGGAAGCGGAUGGAGGAUGGUGAUGCAUCCCGGUCGGAUGUAGAAUGGUGAGAGCCAGUCCACUGAUCGACUCGGGGUGAGGACCAGCAUGGAUCGAUGCGGCGCUCAAAGCUCGAGCUGUUGAUAUGUUCAUUGUACAGCAUCACAUCGAUCCAGGCAGACAACGCACACCUGGUGCGUGCCUCGAUAACUGCGCGUUCUUGGUGCUGGCCUACGGGCUCCCUAUUCGACCCGUCUUGAAACAUGGACAAGGGAGUCUGACAUGUGUGCGAGUCAAUGGGCAAUUAAACCCGUAAGGUGCAAGGAAGCUGACCGGCGUGAUCCCCUCGAGGGGUGCACCGCCGAUCGACCUUGAUCUUCUAAGAAGGGUUCGAGUGAGCGUACCUGUCGGGACCCAAAAGAUGGUGAACUAUGCCUGAGCGGGGCGAAGCCAGAGGAAACUCUGGUGGAGGCACGCAGUGAUACUAACGUGCAAAUCGUUUAUCUGACUUGGGUAUAGAGGGAAAGACUAAUCAAACCGUAUAGAAGCUGAUUCCCUUUGAAGUUUCCCUCAGGAUAGCUAGAGCUCUAGUGUGAUUUCUAUCGGGUAAAGCCAAUGAUUAGAGGCAUCAGGGGUGCAACACCCUCGACCAAUUCUCAAACUUUAAAUAGGUAGGACGGCGCAGCUGCUCCGUUGAGCCACGCCAGAGAAUUUUGAGCUCCAAGAGGGCCAUUUUUGGUAAGCAGAACUAGCAAUACGGGAUGAACAGGAAGCCGAGUUACAGUGCCCAACUGCGCACUAACCUAGAUCCCACACAGAGUGUUGGUUGAUUAAGACAGCAAGACGGUGAUCAUGGAAGUCGAAAUCCGCUAAGGAGUGUGUAACAACUCACUUGCCAAAUCAACUAGCCCUGAAAAUGGAUGGCGCUGAAGUGCGUGACCUAUACCCGACCGUCGGGGCAAGGGCCAUGCCCCAAUGAGUAGGAGGAUACGACGGUCGCUUCAAAACCCUGGGUGUGAGCCCAGGCGAAGCAGCCGUCGGUGCGGAUCUUGGUGGUAGUAGCAAAUAUUCAAAUGAGAACUUUGAAGGCUGAAGAGGGGAAAGGUUCCAUGUGAAUAGCACUUGCACAUAGGUUAGUCGAUCCUAAGGGUCGGGGGAAGCCUGACAGACAGCGCGUUCAGCGCGUGCUCCGAAAGAGAAUCGGGUUAAAAUUCCUGAAUCGGGAUGCGAUGGUUGAUGGCAACGUUAGGGAGUCUGGAGACAUCGGCGGGGUGAAGAGUUAUCUUUUUUGUUUAACAGCCUGCCCACCCUGGAAACGGCUCAGCCAUAGAUAGGGUCCAGUGGCUGGAAGAGUACCGCACGUCGCAUGGUGUCCGGUGUGCCCCCGGUGGCCCUUGAAAAUCUGGAGGACCGAGUACCGUCCGCGCCCGAUCGUACUCAUAACCGCAUCAGGUCUCCAAGGUGAACAACCUCUGGUCGAUGGAACAAUGUAGGCAAGGGAAGUCGGAAAAAUAGAUCCAUAACCUCGGGAAAAUGAUUGGCUCUGAGGGCUGGGCACGGGGGUCCCAGUCCCAAACCCAUCGGCUGUCGGCGAGCUGCUCGUACGAUAAGAGCGGGUUAUCGCGUGCCGGCCGGGGAUGGACUGGGAACGGCUCCCUCGGGGGCCUUCCCCGAGCGUCGAACAGUCGACUCAGAACUGGUACGGAUAAGGGAAAUCCGACUGUUUAAUUAAAACAAAGCAUUGCGAUGGUUCCUACGGAUGCUCACGCAAUGCGAUAUCUGCCCAGUGCUCUGAAUGUCAAAGUGAAGAAAUUCAACCAAGCGCGGGUAAACGGCGGGAGUAACUAUGACUCUAUUAUGGUAGCUGAUGAGAGUGAAAAUAAGCGUGUUUUAAUAUCCAAUUUAACACCUUUUUGAUUGAUAUUGUAGUCUUAUACGAGCGCAAGUGUCUUAUAUUCUAUAUAUGUGAGAAUUAUGUGCACUUGAGGUGUUUUAUUGUGUUUUAGGUGGAAAAAGGAUGAAAAGUGCAAAGUUGGAGAAAAGGUGCAAUUUGUGCAAGAAUGCUGAAAACGCACAUCCAACUUUCAUAAUUAUUCUGAAUUGCUUUGGAGCUCGAAAAUGUUAUUGUGAUAUAUGUUGGAAAGCCACUGAAGCGUGGGUCAUUUUGGCGUAAAGAACACCAUCAUUGAAGUCCGAACGAGGAAGUUAUGAGCAAAGUCGUGACGCCGCGCGAGCUGUGCCGAAUAGAAUUACAGUGCUACUUUCCAUGGCCUGAUACAUAUUCAAUUCUUGGAGUUUUUAUGAUUUCUUAAUAUUGAUAGAAAGCCAAGGAAGAGAGGAUCGCGUGAGAGCAAAAAUCACUCAAUUCAGAGGUCGGAUGUGAAAGUUAUACGCGAAACGAUGAGACUUCCAGUAGGUGGGUUCGACCUGUGGUUCGACCUGCGGUCAAUGGUUUGACCUGUUUGCUGAGGUCGAACCAUCGUGCGGAAACUUACCAAAUCCGUAUUUUCAAGGCCUAAACGCGUGUGACCACUAGAAAAGCCAAUUCCAAGCCUAGGAGACAUGAUUAAAAGUAUAAAAGGAGGUCUAUACAGCCCUGAAAAGAGGAGGAACACAACACAAUACAAGAGAGGAGAAGAGAGGCCACAACAUACAACACCCCACAAGGGGGGAUC
rnacentral:rRNA from 1 species